rnacentral:misc_RNA from 1 species
GACUAAAUUUCUAAUAAAAACAAUUCCACCUGCAAACUCGUCGAGUUCGAUCUCACACUGUCCCAAGUCCAUCACACAACACACCUUUUCCUAAACGCUUUUCCGAUUCUCGUUGCUGAGAAUUAGAGAAACGACGCUCGAACACGCUGCGAAACACUGAACUAGGUUCUCUAAAUGUCGCGGUAGCCUCUCGAGGUCCGCGUGGGUCAGCCACAGCCGACUGUGCAAACGGCGAAAACCAUAGAAAACGAAGCGCAAUUGUGGAGGAACAAGCCCGUUUGCUACACGCGAGGCGGCAAGUUUCGCUGUACGUGUUCGCCUAGCGAGCCAAGCUACCAUACACGACGAUGGUGGUCGGUGAGCUGGCGACAGACUGCGGAUCAUUUCUUUUUUCCACCUACCAACCGCCCACGACGGGUCGUCGGUGGAGGAAUAAAUAGGAACCGGGGGCAGCAGACGCGGUGCAACAGAAAUGAUUCAUCUGUCGAAGAAUCGAUAAACGAGCGGAUAAUUGAAACGAGAACAAUUAA